CUGGGAGGCCAGGUCUCCAGAGUCCCCAGGGCACCUCCAGGAGGACGUCUCUGCAGGAGGCCAGAGGUCUGUGCCCCGCACACCGCCCGUGGCUCUGCUCAACGGAGGAGUUAGGAAAAGGAAGCAAGGUGCAGGAGUGACCUCAAUGCAGCUAAUGAAGAUGCUGAGAGGAGUGAGGUGAGGAGACCAUCAGCUCCAGAGAACACACCUGCCAGAGUGGGAACACCACUUAGCCCAUGCCUUUGUUUCAAGAACCAGCUGUAUGUGCUCAGUCAGGGCAUCCUAACUUUACAGCCUGAGGAAGGGGAUGGCUUAAUUAAACUUUAGCGGGGAAAUCACUGCAUCAGGAGUCAGGGGAGCCCCAGGUGAUCCUAAGCAAGUUCCUGUUCUUCUCUGGGCCUCAGUUUCCUCAUCUGCAAAAUGAAAGAGUUUGUACUUAAUCUCGCAGAACUCCUCUAGCUUUGAUGCUGUGAUGCUGUGGCUUGCCAUAAAAUUGGAGGUGAGGGGAUAUCCUCAGCCUCAGCUGCACCCACACUCUCAGGUGAAUUC